rnacentral:misc_RNA from 1 species
UUUAGCUUCGGACCGUCCUUCGGAUCACAUCGGCUAAAUAUCGAUCAAAAUCGCGGCGUCGUUAACGUAUUUACUGCAGAGAGCCAAUUCACCAGGCGUGAGGACAAGGAUCUAUUAGGAAUUAGGUUAGAAUAUCACAAUCAUGGCAUCUUCAUCGGUUGUAAGGGGACCUGCUGGUAACAAUGACUGCAGGAUAUACGUGGGAAACCUUCCACCUGAUAUCCGGGAAAAAGACAUCGAAGACAUGUUCUACAAGUUUGGCUCCAUCGCAGACAUCGACUUGAAGAAUAAGAGGCCACCAUCAUUCUCAGGCUCUGGUUCAGAAAGGGAACGAUUCGGAACACCAUUUGCCUUUGUAGAGUUCCAUGACAGAAGAGAUGCAGAUGAAGCAGUGACAGCACGAGAUGGCUACAACUAUGAUGGAUACAGGAUACGUGUUGAGUUUCCAAGGGGUACCAAAGGCUUCAAGGGCAGUCGUCCAAGGGGACCACCACCAAGGAGAUCAUCAUAUCGCUGCAUGGUGCAAGGUCUGCCUUCAACAGGUAGUUGGCAAGAUCUCAAGGAUCACAUGCGGGAGGCAGGCGACGUAUGCUAUGCUGAUGUGUACAGAGAUGGAACAGGUGUUGUGGAGUUUCUCAGACCAGAGGAUAUGAAGUAUGCUGUCAAACAGCUAGAUGAUACCAAGUUCAGAUCACAUGAGGGAGAUGUCUCUUACAUCCGGGUUAAGGUUGAUCCUACCAGUGGAGGUGGGCGCUCAAGAAGUCGUUCUCCUCUGAGCCCGUACCGUGGUGGUCGUGGAGGCGGUAGCUACCGCUCCCGCAGUCGUUCCCGCAGUCCACAAUGGGGCCAUGGCAGAAAACACCGCCACCACCGAUCUCGUACCAGGUCCUUUUCUCGUUCCAGAUCCCCCAGCUCCAGGUCUCGCUCAAGAUCGCGAUCCAGAUCCCGCUCAUAGUUCCAUGGUCAACCUACGUUCCUUCUGUCGACCUCUGCCUACUGUGUUUUGACAAGGCAUUGCUGCUUGGGAGGUUGCAUUGCUUUCAUGAAGCCAUAAAACCUGUAUUGGCCCCUCCUGGAGGCAUUCAGGAAGGAAGAUCAUAAAAUCAGGAAUUAAUGAGGAGUUGGAUUUGUGAGGAUCCAAAAAAAAAAGAGAAAAAGGCACAGAUCCAUGCAAUGAAUUCAUUAUCCGGGAAUAGUUUUCACGAUCGCAAUCUGGGAGUUGGACAUUCCUUGCUCCAUGGAUCAGAAAUGUCAUGGAUUCAGGGAAUGCAUUCACAAUCCGGACUAGUUUUCAGGAGCAAAAAUUAGGAUCAGAGGAAAUUAGGCUUUGGGGAUCCAAAUAUGAUCAGGAUCUGGAGAAAUCAGGAUCAAAGCAAGGAAUCAUUCCAGGAUCAAAUUUUUUAAAGGUAUUCAGGGAUCAAUGGAAGGAUCAGAUCAGAUCGCACACCAAGGGGUCCUGAGAUCCGGAGGUUUUUGAGGGAUCAGGUCAGGUGUGGAUCGGAUCAGAAUGAAAGCACAGGUAGAAGUCCGAUGAGCAUGGUCUUGGUCUGAUGGAUCAUGGAUCAUUCUUAAUGAGAAAAAAAUAAAGAUUAUGGGAAAGGAAUCCAAAUUUUGAUGGAUCAGAUUGAGUCCUGGGAGCCUUUGAUCUCAGAAGAGAGUCAUUUACCUAUUUGGGGAUCAAAUCAGAGUUUGGAUCAUUUCAUAAGGAAAGGAUCAUUUGACGGUAUGAUUUCACUUUUGUUCAAAUUAAUAUCUGUAUUCUACACUUUCAUGUAUAUAUUUAUAUUUUCAUAUGCACACUUGUCUGCAUUUUGGUUUUGAUGUUUUGUGGCAGUGUUGUGUUGUCCUUUAGAUAUUCACAAUUUUUUUAAAAGCAGAAUUGAAAUAAAGAAUCCCCUCCACUCCA